AGAACGAACGCUGGCGGCAUGCCUAACACAUGCAAGUCGAACGAGACCUUCGGGUCUAGUGGCACACGGGUGCGUAACGCGUGGGAAUCUGCCCUUGGGUUCGGGAUAACAGUUGGAAACGACUGCUAAUACCGGAUGAUGUCUUCGGACCAAAGAUUUAUCGCCCAAGGAUGAGCCCCGCGUAGGAUUAGCUUGUUGGUGAGGUAAGAGCUCACCAAGGCGACGAUCCUUAGCUGGUCUGAGAGGAUGAUCAGCCACACUGGGACUGAGACACGGCCCAGACUCCUACGGGAGGCAGCAGUGGGGAAUAUUGGACAAUGGGCGAAAGCCUGAUCCAGCAAUGCCGCGUGAGUGAUGAAGGCCUUAGGGUGUAAAGCUAUUUACCCGGGAUGAUAAUGAACAGUAACCGGAGAAGUAACGCCCCGGACUAACUCCGUGCCAGCAGGC
rnacentral:rRNA from 1 species